rnacentral:hammerhead_ribozyme from 1 species
CGCUUCUGAGGAGUCCCAUAAUGGGACGAAACGGCCUUCAAGGGC